rnacentral:rRNA from 1 species
CCUACGGGAGGCAGCAGUGGGGAAUUUUGGACAAUGGGGGCAACCCUGAUCCAGCCAUGCCGCGUGAGUGAAGAAGGCCUUCGGGUUGUAAAGCUCUUUCGGCCGGGAAGAAAUCGCAUAGGCUAAUACCCUGUGUGGAUGACGGUACCGGAAUAAGAAGCACCGGCUAACUACGUGCCAGCAGCCGCGGUAAUACGUAGGGUGCGAGCGUUAAUCGGAAUUACUGGGCGUAAAGCGUGCGCAGGCGGUUUAGUAAGACAGGCGUGAAAUCCCCGGGCUCAACCUGGGAACUGCGCUUGUGACUGCUAAGCUAGAGUGCGGCAGAGGGGGGUGGAAUUCCACGUGUAGCAGUGAAAUGCGUAGAGAUGUGGAGGAACACCGAUGGCGAAGGCAGCCCCCUGGGCCGAUACUGAUGCUCAUGCACGAAAGCGUGGGUAGUAAACAGGAUUAGAUACCCUGGUAGUCCACGCCCUAAACGAUGUCAACUAGGUGUUGGGAGGGUAAAACCUUUUAGUACCGGAGCUAACGCGUGAAGUUGACCGCCUGGGGAGUACGGCCGUAAGGUUAAAACUCAAAUGAAUUGACGG